UACAUGGGGUGCAAACGUUGCUCGGAAUUAUUGGGCGUAAAGCGCACGUAGGCGGUUCGUUAAGUCGGAUGUGAAGCCCUCGGCUCAACUGAGGAAGUGCACCCGAAACUGGCGAGCUUGAGUACGAAAGAGGAUCGCGGAAUUCCCGGUGUAGAGGUGAAAUUCGUAGAUAUCGGGAGGAACACCGGUGGCGAAGGCGGCGAUCUGGGUCGAUACUGACGCUGAGGUGCGAAAGCGUGGGGAGCAAACAGG
rnacentral:rRNA from 1 species